rnacentral:rRNA from 1 species
CUCAGGACGAACGCUGGCGGCGUGCUUAACACAUGCAAGUCGAGCGGUAAGGCCCUUUCGGGGGUACACGAGCGGCGAACGGGUGAGUAACACGUGGGUGACCUGCCCUUAGCUCUGGGAUAAGCCUGGGAAACUGGGUCUAAUACCGGAUAUGACUCCAUGACGCAUGUUGUGGGGUGGAAAGCCUUGUGCGGCUAGGGGAUGGGCCCGCGGCCUAUCAGCUUGUUGGUGGGGUGAUGGCCUACCAAGGCGACGACGGGUAGCCGGCCUGAGAGGGCGACCGGCCACACUGGGACUGAGACACGGCCCAGACUCCUACGGGAGGCAGCAGUGGGGAAUCUUGCGCAAUGGGCGAAAAGCCUGACGCAGCGA